rnacentral:tRNA from 1 species
GCCCGGGUGGCGGAACUGGUAGACGCAAGGGACUUAAAAUCCCUCGGGUGUUUCACCUGUGCGGGUUCGAUUCCCGCCCCGGGCACCA